rnacentral:lncRNA from 1 species
UUGGAAGUUUGAUGAUUAUGGAUGCAAGUUUGUUCAUGUUCCAAACACCAUAAGUUUGCAUUGGUCUUUUGUAUGCAGUAGGUGUGUGUGAGUUUGUAUUCAAUAAUGAUAAAAAAAAAAGAGUUUAGAUUGUUGUAACAUGAGAGAAAUGGAAGGUAUAUGAAUGUGUUUUUUGUGUAGCUUCACGAAUAUGGUCAUUGUCUUACUUGGGUCUUAUUGAAUCAUUUCUAUAUUACAGAUAAAAU